UACGGAGGGUGCGAGCGUUGUCCGGAAUCACUGGGCGUAAAGGGUGCGCAGGCGGCCGUGUGUGUGAGGCGUGAAAGCCCGGGGCUUAACCCCGGAAUUGCACCUCAAACUACAUGGCUAGAGCAUUGGAGAGGGUAGCGGAAUUCACGGUGUAGCAGUGAAAUGCGUAGAUAUCGUGAGGAACACCAGAGGCGAAGGCGGCUACCUGGACAAUUGCUGACGCUCAGGCACGAAAGCGUGGGGAGCAAAAGGG
rnacentral:rRNA from 1 species